CUGGAUUUUCGAUUGUUUUACUAGAUACUCUGCACAUGGUUCCUCAUGCUUCCCCUGACUUAGCUACAGUAUAGUGCAGUGCAGUGCAGUGCAGUGAAUCCAGAAAAGGUGAGGGAGCUUCAAUAUAUUUUUGCAUCCCUAGGCCAUCUGGCAUAAAGAUACUCCUGAAAGUCAGAUUCCACAAGCAGUCAUGAAGAACAAACCAUUAACCUGGAUGUCCAUACAUCAAGUCCUACCUGAUACUGUAAAUAUGAUGGUUCACCAGGAAAAUGCAAAACUUCCCUGUGCCACGCUUUCUUUCUACUGCAAUCUCUUAAAGGCCUGAUGUCUUUAUUUCAGCCCCUGUAAACUGCCACAAGCAUCAGAAAAAAACCUGAAUAUGAGGAGAUUGAAAGUGGUCACAUUAGAUCAUCUGCAGAGGAAAAACAAUUCCAAAAACUUGACUCUGGACUCUACGUAUACUGUGUAGAAAAGGGGCAAGUCCAUGCUGAAUUCACCUCUCAUCUUCAGAGAGCAUGUCCAUCCAGGGGCAGCAGGGACCUUUCUGGAUGCAGAAAUAGCAGCGCAUUUAAAUAUUGCCCCCAUUCCCAUGUCUAUGACCGUUCUGUAUUCAUACACUUGAUGGUACACUGAGCCAAAAUCAAGUCAACAUGAAAACAGUACCACUGAGCAUGCACACAGAAGUCACAAAAUCCCCUCACAAUCCCACACACAACACCACAUAUGGAAGGAUGAAGAAUUAACCUGGUGGAGCCCUCAUGCUACAAACAAUACAUAUCCUUUCCUUGUCAUGCCACACAAGUAGAAAGUUGAGAGACGAAAGUUCUGAUCCCUAUCAAGAACUCGCAAAGGUGUUUUGCAAAGAGAAAGCCCCUGAAUUACCUCUGCACUGGCCAUGGUUUGUUCAUUCCUCGUUCUGUAACAGAAGCAUAAAGACAUUUCAGAUGGAUUUACCAGCACCCUCAUUCUCCCUCAUCCUGAACCCUCACUCCUAUUCAUCAUAAAAGUGGACACUGUAACAACAGACAGACUGACAGAAAAAAUGCUUUAGUGUUUUUAGUAACAAAAGGUGC
ensembl:lncRNA